rnacentral:rRNA from 1 species
UACGGGGGGGGCAAGCGUUGUUCGGAAUUACUGGGCGUAAAGGGCUCGUAGGCGGCCAACUAAGUCGGACGUGAAAUCCCCAGGCUCAACCUGGGAACUGCGUCCGAUACUGGAUGGCUUGAAUUCGGGAGAGGGAUGCAGAAUUCCAGGUGUAGCGGUGAAAUGCGUAGAUAUCUGGAGGAAUACCGGUGGCGAAGGCGGAUCUCUGGGCCAUUACUGACGCUGAGGAGCGAAAGCGUGGGGAGCGAACAGG